GAUGAACGCUGGCGGCGUGCUUAACACAUGCAAGUCGAACGAAGCACUUUGAGAAGUUUACUUUUUAGAGUGACUGAGUGGCGGACGGGUGAGUAACGCGUGGGUAAUCUGCCUUACACAGGGGGAUAACAGUUAGAAAUGACUGCUAAUACCGCAUAAGCGCACAGUUUCGCAUGAAACAGUGUGAAAAACUCCGGUGGUAUAAGAUGGACCCGCGUCUGAUUAGCUGGAUGGCGGGGUAACGGCCCACCAUGGCGACGAUCAGUAGCCGGUCUGAGAGGAUGAACGGCCACAUUGGGACUGAGAUACGGCCCAG
rnacentral:rRNA from 1 species